UUUAGCUGUCUCUUUAUAUAUCAACUUCACUUCAAUUUUGCCUCUGCCCAUUUUUCCGCUUCGAGAAGAAACUCUAUGAAGAGAGAUAGGAUGUAGGAUUGUCUCCACUAGCCCGCCGCCGUCACACAGCGGAACCGCUGCCGGUGAAAUUUUCUUCUUUUGUUUUUCCCUUUCAGUCCACCGUCGAGCAUAGAACCUGUACCCUCUACCCCUCUCUCAAACACAGACCCAAGUUAUUUUGCAGAAAGCUUGCAAGGGCAUGACCAUGGGUACCAACAUUUUCAAUCUCCGACCUAGCCUCCAUACUCUCGGUUUUUAUCAGGAAAAUCUUAUGAUUCUAUUACUUCCAUGUCUACCAGAUUGCUUGCUAUUAGGGAAAAACUACCAAUUAAUGAGGAAAAUCAAGGCAAAGGUGAUGUAGUAAGAAAAUGUGGGUGUGGUUGUAAGAAAAUGUUUGCUUUACUCUCUGCCCUCUUCUACUAGACUCCAAUAUCUAACCCAAGUAUAGUUUUUUUGUUAUCUUUUUUAUUGCCUGAUUUGUUUUUAAAAAAAUAUCCGGUAGCAAUUUAGGUGGUCUAAUGUUGGUUCCUUAAAUUUUACUUGAUGUAUCAAUAUGUUUUUGAUUUGUGAAUUCCAUUAUUCUAAAUAUGUCAUACUGGAAAUUAUUGUUCCUAUAUCUUCAACACCUGUAGAUUAACCAAGUUCUAUUUCUUGGUUAUAUCUAUUAGGUGUUCGACAAAAUGCCUCUAAGAGCAGCUGGUAUUACUUGGCAUUUUUGCCUUUUAUAUAUAAAUCAUGUCAGAUGCCAAAACUCAUGUGCAAAUUAGUCCUCAAGCCUCAGUUGGUUGCAGCUUAGCUGUAAUGAGGAGGUGGCAAGUCAGUUGGUUUACAUGGUUUUUCUGCAAUUGAUAAAUCAUGACCCAAUUUGCAUAUAAACAUGCGACAGUGGAGAUAGGAUUUUACUUGAGGCAGUUCGGUUUUAUUAAUAUAGCACUUCAUUGCAACAUAUUUGGAUUUAGAAAAAUGCAAGGGUGUUUAGUGGCCAAGUAUUAUAAGAGGAGGCUAUGCUGUAUUUGUUCAAUUGUAACAUGUUUAGUUUAUCAUGGGCGUAAUUUUUGGGUGGAUUCAUGUUAUAGUCAUUUUAAUACUAUUUUAUCAAAAAGUUGUUCUCGUUCCAA